AGGCCAUGUUGUCACAAUAUAUGGGAUCUGUCAGCAGGAGUUGGGCUGUUGUAAAGCUCUUAGGAUUUUUUUUGUGUGUGUGUGCUCCGAGUGGACGAGAUCAGUGAUGAGAACCUGUGAGAGUUCCGCGGAGAUGGAUGAUGUAACCUGUUGUCACGGUAAUGGAUUCUCCCUCUGCAGACACUGAUGGAUCUGUUGCCGUGGCAGCCAUUGCCGCCCGCUGACAUUCCGGCCUGCCCCCGUCUGACGGAGCCGCAGCACGACACACUCUGAUCCUCUGCGCCAAGAGCCGACAUGCAGACAGCAAAGGAAUAUAACGCAAUCCAGGAGUCUGGAGAAACUUCGGCCCACAGAACGUUCUCUCUCUCUAUCCUUCUCUCUGUCUGUCUCUUAGCAUUAUUUUAUUCAUGAUUAUAUUGUAUUGUAUUAAUAUGAAACACAUUUUCUGUUAAAACAAAAGUGUUGUCACUAUGUUUUUGAAACAUUUCAUGUCAAAUGUUAAGAUUAUAUUAUUGACAUUUGGAAGCUACUCAAAAAACAUUUUACCAAAAUUUUUUGUUUCAUUGAAAACAGUUCACUUUAGAAUUAUUGUCUAUUUUGUAAAUAAAAUUGAUCAGGACGUAAACUCAAACCUGCAUCAAACUUAUGUCAGGUAAUAUGUCACUUUUCAGCGUAAAUUGCUGAUUAAACAUUGUGAUCUAAUAUAAAUACACACAAAUCUGCGGUUUUGCCCUGUGAAAAUAUGUGUGUGUGUGUGUGUGUGUGUGUGUGUGUGUGUGUGUGUGUGUGUGUGUACAGACGUGUCAUCUGUGUGUGCAGAGCUGGUGUGAAUGACGCCGUGAGGCUGCUCGAGAAGCCACAAGAGAGAAAUGAGACUGACAGAAUGCGAGACAGAGAUUAUUAACACCAGAGUUCUCCCUGAGCAAAAGUGCCUCUACGAUGCUACGGGGCUGCCAAGACUAUGCUGUGCGGUUGCUAGGAGGUUUCCAGGUGUUCUAAGUGUUUUCUUGCAGGUGUAAAUCAAAGCAGCUCUUUAUUUUUAUUUAAAUUAUGAUUGAAUUUAUUUCUGCUUAUAUAUCACACUUUUAUUUUGUUUCUGUUUUAAGUUAGAAUGCUCAAAAUACUUGUUAAAUAUCAGUUUCAUAUUCUAACACUUGUUAUAAAUAUAUGAUUAAUUAACAUAUACAGUGGUGGCAAAAUUGUUAGAACAUUUGGCAUAUUUAAGAGGUUUUAGUUGUUUUUGUUAAAUUGGCCAUUACAAUACCCUUACAACUAACUAUUGCCAGAACCACCUGCUACGGAAUGAAUCUGCUGGAACAUUUUAUAAUGACGGACAUGCCCCCUCAAAGUCUGCACAUCGACCUCAACGAGCAAAUUUGGGGCGAGUUGGAAAAUAAACUGGACAGAUCUAUUGUCCAUUCAAGCCUCUGGCUUGAGUUGCAGAAGGCAUGGGAUAACAUUAGUGUUCUCAGGAAAUAUACUGACACUGCACCAGAGAGAUGUGCUGCUGUAAUUGCUGCAAAAGGUGGACAUACCAAAUAUUGAAGUUGAAAGUGGAUAAAAACAGUACAACUUCAUGUGAUAUUUCUUGUGCUCAGAGCAACCAUUUGCAUGUUUCAUGAACAUUAUAUACAAUAUUUUCAGAUCUGUCAGGUGUUCUAAUAAUUUUGGCCACAACUGUAAAUCAUAUAAAUAUUUUGGGGCAACAGAACGGUCAAAACAAUAAUAUUUGAUUAUAAUAUUCACAAAAUGCAAAUAUUUUAAUUUAUUUUAUUUUACUUUAUUCAAAAUAUUUGUUGAAUAACAUUUUCAUAAUUGCAAUAUAUAAAUAUAAUAUAAUUCAUAUUUUAAUAUUUCUUUUUAAUUUUAUUUAUGGGCUUGGGGAAAACUUGACUGAGUAAAGAGGAUGCUCAAAAUAUUUGUUUAACAUUUUGACAAAAUUCUUUCUAUUAGGUUAAGUAAAAUAGUAUUAUUUAUGCCCUCAUAUAAAUAAAAUGCGCUUCAAAUUCAACUUCAAUAUCGCCGUUAAUAAUAAUAAAGUUCCUAGGUAUAAUAUGUUCUAAUACUUUUCAACAUACAGGUUUAUUAACCAUGGCAAAAAAGUCUGUGAAUUCCAAAAAGACGAGCUCCGAUCGUGCCGACAGAACUGCAGUUGGCCGCUAGGGAGGGCUGCUGUACCGCCGUUCUCCGUAUCGCCGCCGUGCUCCGCUAGACGCUGCUGCCGCUCGUGUCCCUCGCUUUCUCUCUCUAAUCACGCUCUGCGUCUCUCCCUCUCUCUUUAUCAUUCUGAGCCACCCCUCCUCCCCCCGUCACUUACCCUGCCCUUCUGAGAGAAGAAUCCACGGCGUGUGCGAUUUAGAGGCUGUGCGCUUAUGUGUGUGCGUGUUAGUUUAUGAGCCCUGGCUUCUGUUUGUGUGUGCGUAGAGGUGCUAUGAAGGCCGGCUCUAUUGUGUGCAGCGCAGUGUUCUGUUACCUGCGCGCGAGUGAUUAGAGCGCCGUAAUAAACGGAGGGAGAGAUAGAGCGAGAGAGAGAGAGAGAGAAGGAGGGGGGUGAACGAGGGAUAGGUUGAGUGGAAGAGUAAUAAAGACCGAGGGAGGAGAUGAAAUUCCAGCUGCCUGUGAAAGGCUGUUUCCUGCAGCGCUGCCACGAGAUUAAUGACGAGAGAAAGAGAGAGAGAGAGAGAGAGAGAGAUGGAGACAGGAAGAGUGCCGCGCAAACGACUCCGUGAAAGUAUCCGGUCGGUGGCGACGGCGUCCCGUUUAGCGGCGCGCAGCUCAGUUUAAUCUGGUUUGAAGUUCUCUCUUAUCAUUUUAAUAGCGUUCUUUCACACGCGCACGGAUCACUGUCGAGGCAGAUCGGCAGAUAUCGCGCGCUCAGAGGGCAUGCAGAGACAUUCACAGUGCCAGUGCGCCGCGCGCCUGCCAGGCGUCGUUUCUCAUCGCUGCCAGGCCUCGUGCUCUGCUCUCCUUGUGCUUUGGAUGAAAGAAAGCAUUUCAUUUUACGUCACGGCUGGACGUAAAAACAGUGCUUUAGGGAGUAGCAAAGAUGACAGAACACUCAAGAAUGACUCACAGAUGGAGAACGCACAUGAAGACGAGGGCUUGGAAAGGGGAAGCCAGCGAACAGCGUGAGCAGUGCAGUGCUGGAGCAUAUGAGGGCAAGAAGGACUCCA
ensembl:lncRNA